ensembl:rRNA 5S_rRNA 5S ribosomal RNA
GCCGGCAGCUAGCUCUCUGCAACUCUCACACGGUCUCCCACUGAAGCUAAGCAGGGUUGCGCCCGGUCAGUACCUGGAUGGGAGACCACAUGGGAAAGCAAGGCCACUGCCGAGA